rnacentral:lncRNA from 1 species
UCCGGGGGGUCUUCACACGGGCAGGUCCUGGAGGGAAGGAGGAGGCCACCGCGCCCACCUCCCAUCUGAAGGCACAGCACCGCAGUGGUGGCCUGUGCCAGAGGAGGGGGUGAAGGAUGGAAUGUCCUCAAGGAAAAGAAAGAACAUGUGAGUGCUUCUGAAAACACAGCAAGAGGACUUGAGCACAAGCUAAAGGAAAAACAACCCUAUAUAGUUUCUUCGAGUGAGAAAAAUAAUGCCAAACAAAAUAAUUUUAUGUAACUACC